CUGAGGUGCCUGGACCCCUUUGGGCAGAUCUGGGGCUGCCUGGUGCUCUAAUCAGGGGAUUUGGAGGGGGCUCUCCUUUAGGGAGAUGACAGGACUGCCCCCCCCCAGGUUAAUGAUUUAGCUUUAAGAUCUUUAUCUGUAAAAGGGAAAAAAAAUACGUGUUCUUUAAAGUUAUAAUGAAGAAUAAACUAAGUAAUGUGUAUAAAGGACAGAGAGUACCUGACAAAGAUUAAGUACCUUAAUAUUAGUUGUAGCAGCAGAUAUUUAUGAUACUCUUGCUUUCAACUUAAAAGUGAUAAUUCUUCAUGUUUCUUACUUUUCCAGAUUCUUCAAACUGGAUCAGUUCAUAGAGUUUUUGAGGAAGAAAAAAAAAAAAAAACAGAGAGGAUUCCUAUUAUUUUCUGACAAACUUUUUCUAUUACAUCAUUGACCAGUCCAGAGGAGAGUGUUGUUGUUGUUGUUGUUGUUGUUGUUGUUGUUUUUAACUCAUGCAAUUGCUUUUCUAAAGACAGGGAUUGUGGACAGUUAAUAAUAUCCAAUUGAAAAUCUCCUGGGUUAUUUGAGAUGCUGUUAGAAGUUCCUGUUGCCUGAAUAAUCUCAACUAUGAUUAUUUUCUUUUCUGGUUUCCUGCAAGAAAGAAAACUUACAAAGUCUGUGCUGGUUGCUGAAAUCUCCAGUUCCCUGAUCUUCCAUGUCCGAAACAAAGAAGUUAUUGUAAUCCUGUUACUGCUGCUGCUGCUUUUCCGUGUGAAUGGUGGUGCUCCAGACUCAUUAGUCCCAUCAUUCUCUGAUGGUGGCAGUCGUGAAUUCCUUACACAAUUAGUGUUCAAGUGGAUGGCUUUGAAUCCAGCUUACAGGAUGACCAGAACUGUCUGAGAAAUCAGUAAGUGCCUAAGCACUCACAGAAAUAUCUGAAAAGGAAAACCUUGACAGAGUCAGCUAUGUGAUAUGCAAGGACCCAAUGUGAAAUGAAAAGACAUGCUCCUCAUUCAAAAGACAGGAAAAAGAAAUGUCAUAAAAGGUAUUAAAAUAUAAAGCUUUUCCCUUUCUUCCUAGGUCUCUCUUCACCUUUCAUAG
rnacentral:lncRNA from 12 species